GCUGUGGGCGGUCUGGGGAGCGGGCGUGUAGUGUGGGUUUUUGGCCCUGUGGCUCCGGGCAUCUCCUCACGCUGCCCCCCACAGGCAGGUCUGUGUCCACACAGGAGGUCGACCCUGCGCCUUGGGGUCCCCGUCCCUCUCAGGAAGGCCAGCUCUGUACCAGCCCGCUCCUCGCUGCCCGGUGUGGCCACCAGGUGGGCCCCGCCGCCACACGCUCCCUGGCUUCCCCCUCAGGCAGGGGCGCGUGGCCUUAUUGGAGCCGUGGCCAUGAUCUGACACUGACCGGGAAGUGGCUUUCUCCCUAGGGAGAGCAGGUGUCUUUCAGAGGAGGCUUGUAGGCGAGACUCCUGGCGGGACCGGAGGGCCCUGGUCACAGCAGAGCGCGCUGACCCACGUGGUGGGCCUGCCGUGGCAAGUGACCCCAAGGGCGGAGCGUCCCUGGAAGAGCCGAGCCGCAGCCCAGCGGCCACACCCCAGCCUCACAGAAGACAGCGGGUGCACAAGGAGGGCGGGACGGAAGACUGCUGAGUGCAGGCAGGUGAGAGUUACCGAACAGAAGAGCGGCUUCCCAGGGAGCCGCCGAAGACCUCCCGGCCGGUGGGCUCCCCGGGCUCCGGACGCCGACCGGACCCGUGUUCUGCCGGCUCCCGAAAUCCUCCCGCCCUGGUUGGUGCCGUUUCUCCCAGAGUGAAAGCAUUUGCCGACCUUAAUGAGCUCUUCCCUGGGUGACUAAAGGCCACUAUCCCGAGCAUCGAGGGUGACUGACUAAGACUGGAGGUAAACAGAAUUACAGUGAAACCAGAAUAUUCCCUGGAAGACAAACACUGGCAGUUGCUAAUUCUCGUGUUAUUUCUUUUUCUUACAAUCACACAGAUGGAAAAUGCCUGUGGUUUGGGCUCUGAGUAAAAUAUUAUAAGAUUUA